rnacentral:rRNA from 1 species
AACGAACGCUGGCGGCAUGCCUAACACAUGCAAGUCGAACGAGACCUUCGGGUCUAGUGGCGCACGGGUGCGUAACGCGUGGGAACCUGCCCUUAGGUUCGGAAUAACUCCCCGAAAGGGGUGCUAAUACCGGCUAAUGUCUUCGGACCAAAGAUUUAUCGCCUUUGGAUGGGCCGGCGUUGGAUUAGCUAGUUGGUAGGGUAAAAGCCUACCAAGGCUACGAUCCAUAGCUGGGUUGAGAGGAUGAUCAGCGACACUGGGAGUGAGACACGGCCCAGAAUCCUACGGGAGGCAGCAGUGGGGAAUAUUGGACAAUGGGCGAAAGCCUGAACCAGCAAGGCCGCGUGAGUGAUGAAGGCCUUAGGGUUGUAAAGCUCUUUUACCCGGGAUGAUAAUGACAGUACCGGGAGAAUAAGCUCCGGCUAACUCCGUG